CAAAUACAAAAACAAAAACAAAUCCAAACCCUCCUCUACCCUCUUACUCUCUUCUUUCUGUGUCUCAUACACAAACAAAACUUGCCAUUUCAAUCCAAAGUCUCUCUUUUUGAUUUCCAUUUUCUCUUCAGACGGGAUAAAAAGGGAUAGCUAACUUAAAAUAAGGGAGCAACAAUAGCUAUGGCAAAUAAUGCGGCUUCUUGUGCCGAAAGGGCUACAAGUGACAUGUUGAUUGGUCCAGACUGGGCCAUAAACAUUGAGCUUUGUGAUAUCAUCAACAUGGAUCCUGGCAAAGGAUGCCUUCAAAGUACUCAAGAAGCGACUAGGAAGCAAAAAUCCUAAGAUACAACUUCUUGCUCUUUUUGCAUUGGAGACUGUCAGCAAAAAUUGUGGUGAGAAUAUAUUUCAGCAGAUCAUUGACCGAGACAUCCUGCAUGAUAUGGUUAAAAUAGUGAAGAAGAAGCCAGAUUUGAAUGUGAGAGAAAAGAUACUUAUCUUGAUAGACACAUGGCAAGAAGCUUUUGGGGGACCAAGGGGAAGGUAUCCCCAGUACCAUGCUGCAUAUAAUGAACUAAGGGCUGCCGGAGUUGAGUUUCCACCCCGAGCGGAGAACAGUGUGCCGCUUUUUACUCCUCCCCAAACACAGCCAAUAGUUAGUGCACCUUCAGCAUAUGAAGAUGCUGCUAUCCAGGCCUCUCUGCAAUCUGAUGCUUCAGCUCUCAGCUUGCCAGAGAUUCAAAAUGCUCAGGGACUAGCAGAUGUGUUAACCGAAAUCCUUGGUGCCUUGGAUCCUAAGAACCCUGAGGGUGUAAAAGAAGAGAUGAUUGUUGACCUUGUUGACCAGUGCCGUUCUUACCAAAAGCGCGUCAUGCUUCUUGUGAAUAGCACAGCAGAUGAAGGUCUUCUGUGUCAGGGAUUGGCAUUGAAUGAUAACUUGCAGCGUGUACUUCGUCGGCAUGAUGAUAUCGUGAAAGGUAUCCCUACCGCAGCAGAAAGGGAAGCUGACACACCAGUUGUGCCACUUGUUGUUAUUAACCAUGAUGAAGAUGAGACAGAA
rnacentral:misc_RNA from 1 species